UGGAAAGGCGCGCGAUACAGGGUGACAGCCCCGUACACAAAAGCGCAUGUGCUGUGAGCUCGAUGAGUAGGGCGGGACACGUGGUAUCCUGUCUGAAUAUGGGGGGACCAUCCUCCAAGGCUAAAUACUCCUGACUGACCGAUAGUGAACCAGUACCGUGAGGGAAAGGCGAAAAGAACCCCGGCGAGGGGAGUGAAAAAGAACCUGAAACCGUGUACGUACAAGCAGUGGGAGCCCCACCACCAAAGCAUUCUCUGGUGUUGAAGGCCCUGCAAAGCAGCAUCGCGGUGGCGGAGCGUCGUUUGCGACGCCCAACACACAAAACAAGCGGUGAGUGCUUUGGGGUGGGGUGACUGCGUACCUUUUGUAUAAUGGGUCAGCGACUUAUAUUCUGUAGCAAGGUUAACCGAAUAGGGGAGCCGGAGGGAAACCGAGUCUUAAUUGGGCGUUAAGUUGCAGGGUAUAGACCCGAAACCCGGUGAUCUAGCCAUGGGCAGGUUGAAGGUUGGGUAACACUAACUGGAGGACCGAACCGACUAAUGUUGAAAAAUUAGCGGAUGACCUGUGGCUGGGGGUGAAAGGCCAAUCAAACCGGGAGAUAGCUGGUUCUCCCCGAAAGCUAUUUAGGUAGCGCCUCGUGAAUUCAUCUCCGGGGGUAGAGCACUGUUUCGGCUAGGGGGCCAUCCCGGCUUACCAACCCGAUGCAAACUGCGAAUACCGGAGAAUGUUAUCACGGGAGACACACGGCGGGUGCUAACGUCCGUCGUGAAGAGGGAAACAACCCAGACCGCCAGCUAAGGUCCCAAAGUCAUGGUUAAGUGGGAAACGAUGUGGGAAGGCCCAGACAGCCAGGAUGUUGGCUUAGAAGCAGCCAUCAUUUAAAGAAAGCGUAAUAGCUCACUGGUCGAGUCGGCCUGCGCGGAAGAUGUAACGGGGCUAAACCAU
rnacentral:rRNA from 1 species